AGUGAACGCUGGCGGUAGGCCUAACACAUGCAAGUCGAACGGCAGCACAGUAAGAGCUUGUUCUUACGGGUGGCGCGUGGCGGACGGGUGAGGAAUAUAUCGGAAUCUACUUUUUCGUGGGGGAUAACGUAGGGAAACUUACGCUAAUACCGCAUACGACCUACGGGUGAAAGCAUGGGAUCUUCGGACCUUGCGCGAUUGAAUGAGCCGAUGUCGGAUUAGCUAGUUGGCGGGGUAAAGGCCCACCUAGGCGACGAUCCGUAGCUGGUCUGAGAGGGUGAGCAGCCACACUGGAACUGAGACACGGUCCAGACUCCUACGGGAGGCAGCAGUGGGGAAUAUUGGACAAUGGGCGAAAACCUGAUCCAGCCAUACCGCGUGGGUGAAGAAGGACUUCGGGUUGUAAAGCCCUUUAGUUGGGAAAGAAAAGCAGCAGGUUAAUACCCCGCUGUUCUGACGGUACCCAAAGAAUAAGCACCGGCUAACUUCGUG
rnacentral:rRNA from 1 species